AGAAACACAAGGGCGUGGAGACCUGGGGAAAAAGCAACACGGAGAAAUCCACCCUCUGAAACUGAGGAAGAUGGGCAAGAGAGGCUAGCUCAGGUGGCAAUCUUUAAGCAAAAAAAUAAAAUAAAAAAAUACAAUGGCGAGGAGACCCGGUCAAAAAGCAACCCUGAAAAAGGUACCCUCUGAAACUGAGGAAGCAGGGCAACAAUGCCUAGCUCAGGUGACAAUCUUUAAGCAAAAGAAACACACAAGGGCGUGGAGACCUGGGGAAAAAGCAUCACGGAGAAAUCCUCCAGCUGAAACUGAGGAAGAUGGGCAACAGAGGCUACCUCAGGUGGCAAUCGUUAAGCAAAAACAAAACACAAAGGCGUGGAGACCUUGGGAAAAAGCAACCCUGAAAUAUCUACCCUCUGAAACUGAGGAAGAUGGGCAAGAGAGGCUGGCUUCAUGUGGCAAACGUUAAGCAAAAGAAACACACAAGGGCGUGGAGACCUGGGGAAAAAGCCACACGGAGAAAUCCACCCUCUGAAACUGAAGAAGAUGGGCAACAGAGGCUAGCUCAGGUGGCAAUCUUUAAGCAAAAAAAAUAAAAUAAAAAAAUACAAUGGCGAGGAGACCCGGUCAAAAAGCAACCCUGAAAAAGGUGCCCUCUGAAACUGAGGAAGCAGGGCAACAAUGCCUAGCUCAGGUGACAAUCUUUAAGGAAAAGAAACACACAAGGGCGUGGAGACCUGGGGAAAAAGCAACACGGAGAAAUCCACCCUCUGAAAACUGAAGCUGAGGAAGAUGGGCAACAGAGGCUAGCUCAGGUGGCAAUCGUUAAGCAAAAACAAAACCCAAAGGCGUGGAGACCUGGGGAAAAAGCAACCCUGAAAUAUCUACCCUCUGAAACUGAGGAAGAUGGGCAAGAGAGGCUGGCUUCAGGUGGCAAACUUUAAGCAAAAGAAACACACAAGGGCGUGGAGACCUGGGGAAAAGGCAGCACUGAGAAAUCUACCCUCUGAAACUGAAGAGGAUGGGCAACAGAGGCUACCUCAGGUGGCAAUCGUUAAGCAAAAGAAACACACAAGGGCGUGGAGACCUGGGGAAAAAGCAACACGGAGAAAUCCACCCUCUGAAACUGAGGAACAUGGGCAAAAGAAGCUAGCUCAGGUUGCAAACUUUAAGCAGAAAAAAAAAAAGACGCAAGGGCGUGGAGAGCUGGCGAAAAAGCAACACGGAGAAAUCCACCCUCUGAAACUGAGGAAGAUGGGCAAGAGAGGCUAGCUCAGGUGGCAAUCUUUAAGCAAAAAAAUAAAAUAAAAAAAUGCAAUGGCGAGGAGACCCGGUCAAAAAGCAACCCUGAAAAAGGUACCCUUUGAAACUGAGGAAGCAGGGCAACAGUGCCUAGCUCAGGCGACAAUCUUUAAGCAAAAGAAACACACAAGGGCGUGGGGAGCUGGCGAAAAGGCAACACUGAGAAAUCCACCCUCUGAAACAGACGAAGAUGGGCAACAGAGGCUAGCUCAGGUGGCAAUCUUUAAGCAAAAGAAACACACAAGGGCGUGGAGACCUGGGGAAAAAGCAACACGGAGAAAUCCACCCUCUGAAACUGAGGAAGAUGGGCAAGAGAGGCUACCUCAGGUGGCAAUCCUUAAGCAAAAACAAAGCACAAAGGCGUGGAGCCCUGGGGACAAAGCAACCCUGAAAUAUCUACCCUCUGAAACUGAGGAACAUGGGCAAGAGAGGCUAGCUCAGGUGGCAAUCGUUAAGCAAAAACAAAACCCAAAGGCGUGGAGACCUGGGGAAAAAGCAACCCUGAAAUAUCUACCCUCUGAAACUGAGGAAGAUGGGCAAGAGAGGCUGGCUUCAGGUGGCAAACUUUAAGCAAAAGAAACACACAAGGGCGUGGAGACCUGGGGAAAAAGCAGCACUGAGAAAUCUACCCUCUGAAACCGAAGAAGAUGGGCAACAGAGGCUAGCUCAGGUGGCAAUCUUUAAGCAAAAAAAAUAAAAUAAAAAAAUACAAUGGCGAGGAGACCCGGUCAAAAAGCAACCCUGAAAAAGGUACCCUCUGAAACUGAGGAAGCAGGGCAACAGUGCCUAGCUCAGGUGACAAUCUUUAAGCAAAAAAAAAAAAAAAAAAAAAAAAAAAAAA
ensembl:lncRNA